AAUAUACUCCCUCCGUCCGGAAAUACUUGUCCAAGAAAUGGAUGUAUCUAGAUGUAUUUUAGUUCUAGAUACAUCCAUUUAUAUUCAUUUCUACGACAAGUAUUUCCGGACGAAGGGAGUAGUAG
rnacentral:pre_miRNA from 1 species